UACGGAGGGUGCAAGCGUUAUCCGGAUUCACUGGGUUUAAAGGGUGUGUAGGCGGGGAUUUAAGUCCGUGGUGAAAUCUCCGAGCUCAACUCGGAAACUGCCAUUGAUACUAUUUAUCUUGAAUAUUGUUGAGGUAGGCGGAAUAUGUCAUGUAGCGGUGAAAUGCUUAGAUAUGACAUAGAACACCGAUUGCGAAGGCAGCUUGCUAAACAAUUAUUGACGCUGAGGCACGAAAGCGUGGGGAUCAAACAGG
rnacentral:rRNA from 1 species